UACCGCCAGCGUACUGUGCCCAUCUGGCCACAUUCUGUGAUUGUUGUAAUGCGGAAGGGGACAACUCUGAUGGUGCGUUGACCCCUGGGAGCAGCGGGCAGGCAGCUGUUGCCCAAGUGCACCCUUCAAAGGAUACUAUAACUUUCAGUAUCGCAUCCCCAUUUGAAAGGUUUGCAGUACAAAUAAACCAGAAUGAGAAAUGCUGUAUUUUAAGGAAGAAAAUUGAAGACAAAUUGCAGAAAUCUAUACACCAGUUUUCUUUGUAUGUGGGAAGUCAAAUCCUGCAAAAUGAAGUCUGUCUGAAGAGUUAUGCCUUCCCAGAUUAUUCAACAGUGCGAAUGAACGUGAGACUUCUAGGAGGAGGGGAUACUUCACGAGCAAAAAGAAGGCGGAACUGCGACCCACAGUCCACGACACCAGACCCUCCUCGCAAUCUGAUAAGUAUCCAGGCCUUAACAGACUAUCUAAAGAGUUCUCCGAGUUUUUGGAUUAAAGUAGAAAUUCCGGAUCCAGAUAUUAUUGGUCAGAAUAAGCUAAUAGAUGGCCUCAAUAGUGAAGGGUUUAUUUUUGCAAAUAGCCUGAUCAAGAUCUGGACAAAUGCUCAGAUGGCUGAGCAAUCAUGGGAUGGGGGAAUAGUCUGUAGGCGUGACAUAGUAGUAAUACAAGGGAGAUGCUAUUGUACGUUACAACCUACAAUAGUAGAUGCCAAACCUUGGCAUAUACUAGCAGAUACCUUGGUAUUGGCAUAUACCUUGGAAGUCUUAUUCGUCAAUGUAGGAAAAACACUUCCCCAUGUGAAAGAUUAUUUGGCUUUUCUACGGAAGGCGGAGGAUAUUUAUGAUCCUCUCCUCUUGCCAUUCAAGAGCAAUCCGUUUGCGUUCAAAUCACCAGAAAGACAAGCUGAUGUGUGCAAUAAUCUUGUAAAGUUCUACUUUGACCUUGAUUCCGCGAGCAAGACCCGUUUUCAGAAUGCGGUGAAUACGGUUAAGCCUGAGAAUUGGCCUGCGGCUAAGACAAUGUACAUCUUUGAGCCGAUCGUUGCUUUUCAAGUAAACAAGCAUGGAUUUGAUACCUACACAGCAAACUCAUUCGGUUGUUUCAAGUUUGUGAGGAAUUAUGACGAGCAUAGUUACAUCAUGAGUAUUUCAUCUUUACUCUUUUUUCUUGUACCUGAAUAAAUAACUUUAGAGGCCUUUUAAUGGUUUUACUGGUUGAGCAGGUCCCCUGGGAUGUUAGGUACUGUAUAAUACCAAUUGCUUUUAGAGAUUUUAUGUGCAAAUUGAUACGGGCAUUGCUGCGCGCAAAAUUCAAGAUUGAGAAAGCAUUACAGUAGAGGCCAAGGUGGAGCCUGUGGUAGGGGCAAAUCCCGAAGAUGAGCUUGAGCUUGUGAUCGUCUUCCAUAAAGCUGAAGCUUCAUUCACCGAUAGUCGCAAGGUCUUAGCAGCCAAGAGUUUUUUUCCCUUGCUUUGUAGGAAGAUCAUUUGCUUGGGUGAUUUUGCACUGUAAGACCCGUUCUAGUUGUGGAUCUUAAUCUGGGCAAUGAAAUGAAAGAAUGCAAUCUGGUCUUGUUCCGGUUCUUGAUGCUACCAAUGCUACUUCUUGUUGAGUUUAUUUGC
rnacentral:rRNA from 1 species